rnacentral:rRNA from 1 species
UACGGGGGGGGCGAGCGUUGUUCGGAAUUACUGGGCGUAAAGGGUUCGUAGGUGGCUUGUUAAGUCAGACGUGAAAUCCCUCGGCUCAACCGGGGAACUGCGUCUGAGACUGAUGAGCUCGAGUGCAGGAGAGGAACGCGGAAUUCCAGGUGUAGCGGUGAAAUGCGUAGAUAUCAGGAGGAACACCGAUGGCGAAGGCACUUUACUGGGCUAUUACUAACACUCAGAGACGAAAGCUAGGGUAGCAAAUGGG